CAGCCGCCACGGUAAUACGAAGGGUGCAAGCGUUACUCGGAAUUACUGGGCGUAAAGCGUGCGUAGGUGGUGGUUUAAGUCCGUUGUGAAAGCCCUGGGCUCAACCUGGGAAUUGCAGUGGAUACUGGGUCACUAGAGUGUGGUAGAGGAUAGUGGAAUUUCCGGUGUAGCAGUGAAAUGCGUAGAGAUCGGUAGGAACAUCUGUGGCGAAGGCGACUAUCUGGGCCAACACUGACACUGAGGCACGAAAGCGUGGGGAGCAAACAGGAUUAGAUACCCCUGUAGUCCCUGUCUCUUAUAC
rnacentral:rRNA from 1 species